UGACAGAUUUGUUAAUGGCUGAAAGCGG
rnacentral:piRNA from 1 species